rnacentral:sRNA from 1 species
UCAUUAACGUAAAUAAACUCAAAAGAUAA